GGGAAACUGCCUGAUGGAGGGGGAUAACUACUGGAAACGGUAGCUAAUACCGCAUAACGUCGCAAGACCAAAGAGGGGGACCUUCGGGCCUCUUGCCAUCAGAUGUGCCCAGAUGGGAUUAGCUAGUAGGUGGGGUAACGGCUCACCUAGGCGACGAUCCCUAGCUGGUCUGAGAGGAUGACCAGCCACACUGGAACUGAGACACGGUCCAGACUCCUACGGGAGGCAGCAGUGGGGAAUAUUGCACAAUGGGCGCAAGCCUGAUGCAGCCAUGCCGCGUGUAUGAAGAAGGCCUUCGGGUUGUAAAGUACUUUCAGCGGGGAGGAAGGCGAUAAGGUUAAUAACCUUGUCGAUUGACGUUACCCGCAGAAGAAGCACCGGCUAACUCCGUGCCAGCAGCCGCGGUAAUACGGAGGGUGCAAGCGUUAAUCGGAAUUACUGGGCGUAAAGCGCACGCAGGCGGUCUGUCAAGUCGGAUGUGAAAUCCCCGGGCUCAACCUGGGAACUGCAUUCGAAACUGGCAGGCUGGAGUCUUGUAGAGGGGGGUAGAAUUCCAGGU
rnacentral:rRNA from 1 species